rnacentral:rRNA from 1 species
UACGUAGGUGGCAAGCGUUGUCCGGAUUUAUUGGGUUUAAAGCGCACGUAGGCGGACUCUUAAGUCGGUGGUGAAAUCCUGGAGCUCAACUCCAGAACUGCCUUCGAUACUGAGAGUCUCGAGUCCGGGAGAGGUGAGUGGAACUGCGAGUGUAGAGGUGAAAUUCGUAGAUAUUCGCAAGAACACCAGUGGCGAAGGCGGCUCACUGGCCCGGUACUGACGCUGAGGUGCGAAAGCGUGGGGAGCAAACAGG